GACGAACGCUGGCGGCGUGCUUAACACAUGCAAGUCGAACGGUGAAGGGGAGCUUGCUCCCCGGAUCAGUGGCGAACGGGUGAGUAACACGUGGGCAACCUGCCCCAGACUUCGGGAUAACGCUUCGAAAGAGGUGCUAAUACCGGAUACGAACUCCUUGGGCAUCCUGGGAGUUGGAAAGUUUUUCGGUCUGGGAUGGGCCCGCGGCCUAUCAGCUAGUUGGUGAGGUAACGGCUCACCAAGGCGACGACGGGUAGCCGGCCUGAGAGGGCGACCGGCCACACUGGGACUGAGACACGGCCCAGACUCCUACGGGAGGCAGCAGUGGGGAAUAUUGCGCAAUGGGCGAAAGCCUGACGCAGCAACGCCGCGUGAGGGAUGACGGCCUUCGGGUUGUAAACCUCUUUCAGCAGGGAAGAAGCGAAAGUGACGGUACCUGCAGAAGAAGCACCGGCUAACUACGUGCCAGCAGCCGCAGUAAAAC
rnacentral:rRNA from 1 species